AAAAAAGAAUACAAGAACUGCUAAUUCAUGUCUCCAUAAUUAAAAUUAUGGCUUUUUUA
rnacentral:tRNA from 1 species